ACGAACGCUGGCGGCGUGCUUAACACAUGCAAGUCGAGCGGUAAGGCUCCUUCGGGAGUACACGAGCGGCGAACGGGUGAGUAACACGUGAGCAACCUGCCCUUCUCAUCGGAAUAAGCGUUGGAAACGACGUCUAAUGCCGAAUAUGACAACGGAUCGCAUGAUCUGUUGUGGAAAGCUCCGGCGGAGAAGGAUGGGCUCGCGGCCUAUCAGGUAGUUGGUGAGGUAACGGCUCACCAAGCCGACGACGGGUAGCCGGCCUGAGAGGGUGACCGGCCACACUGGGACUGAGACACGGCCCAGACUCCUACGGGAGGCAGCAGUGGGGAAUAUUGGACAAUGGGCGAAAGCCUGAUCCAGCAACGCCGCGUGAGGGAUGACGGCCUUCGGGUUGUAAACCUCUUUCAGUAGGGACGAAGCGAAAGUGACGGUACCUACAGAAGAAGGACCGGCCAACUACGU
rnacentral:rRNA from 1 species